CUCAGAAUGGACACAGUUGUGGAGUUGCUGAUAGGCAAAGUAGCAGAAAGUGUGGAAGAAAACGCGAGCCUGAUUCUUGGGAUCAAAGAUGAGGUGGAAGAUCUGCUGAGCGAACUGAGGUCUUUCAAGGCAUAUCUCACUGAAGCAUCCAAGAACAACGAGAGCUGUAAUGGCAACGCUGUUCUCAGAAACGUGGUGCAGAAGAUUCAGAAAGUAAUAAUCGAUGCUGAAGAUGCCAUUGAUAAAUACCUUGUUGAGCGAAGGAACCACAGAACCAGACCGGUCCUCAAGAGAUGGGCGGAAAGAUUAUGUUAUUAUACCAAGGUUAUUGAUGCUGCCAAGGAGAUCGAGAGCAUUAAGAAAAGGGCGGAGAAAAUCCGUCUAGAUCAUGUCCAUUCCCUCAACAUACUCCAAGCCGGUUCAACAAAUAAUCCUCACCCCGCGGUUCUCCAGGCUCCUGUGGUGGAAGAGGAUGAAGUGAUAGGGUUUGAUACAGAGGCUAAAAUUAUAAAUGAUCGUCUUACUGAAAAGUUAAAUGAUACAAUGGUCAUUUCAAUUGUUGGAAUGCCUGGAUUGGGCAAAACCACAUUGGCCAAUAUGGUAUUCAAAGAUCACAAACUUCAUUAUGAAAGUUUCACUCAUCUUUGGAUUCACGUAUCUAGCAACAUGAAUAGGAGACAAAUAUUCAUGGACAUUAUUAGUAAAUUAAACAAGGAAACCCGUGGUUGCAAGCAUAUGAGCGAUGAUCAAUUAGCCUCGAAUAUCAAGGAGUUUUUGAACGACAUCAAGUAUUUCAUUGUGAUGGAUGAUGUAUGUUCCACAAGGGAUUGGAAUCAUUUGAAAAUUGCUUUUCCCAACAACCAAAAAGGCAGUAGAAUAUUGGUAACCACGCGUACUUUUGAAGUGGCUAAUCAUGUUGAUUCUAAAAAUGCUCCACACGAAUUAAAAUAUUUAGAGCUUGAGGAAAGUUGGGAGUUAUUAGAAAAGAAAGUUUUCCGCAAGGAAGCUUGUCCUAAUCAUCUUGUAUCCACUGGGAGAAGCAUUGCAAAGAAAUGCAAUGGGAUACCACUAGCAGUAGUGGUGAUUGCUGGUGUCCUUGAUAAAAACAGCACAGCUGCGAAGUGGGAAGAGGUGGCUGAAGAUCCUUUUCAAUUAAUCAAUCAGGAAAACCAAAGCUACAAUGAACUGGUAUCACUGAGUUAUAAUCAGUUGCCUAACCACACAAAAGAUUGCUUCCUAUAUCUUGCAGCAUUUCCAAUGGGACAUGAAAUUCCCGUUCGGAAAUUGAUUUGCUUGUGGAUUGCAGAAGGAUUUAUUCCUUCGUCCUCCCACAACAUGGAGGGCACUGCUAAAAUAUAUUUGAAGGAUUUUGUGAAUAGGAAUCUGUUGAUGGUAGUGAAAAAAACCGCCGACGGUGAAAUAAAAUCUUGCCGUCUUCCUGACACAUUGCACGAAUUUUGCAAAUCCGAAGCUAUGAAGAAUAAUCUGUUCCAUGAGAUUGAUGGGACAAGAAUAGAAGGAAAUGAGAAUUAUCGUCGAUUGUGUAUCCGCUCCAACCUUAGAAGCUUCAUAGAUUCAGAGAGCAAGCCAUCUGGUGAGCAUAUCCGCUCUCUUUUAACAUCUACCAAAUAUGAAAUUCCAGAAGAGCACUUGGCAACUAUCCCAAAAUCCUACCCGCUUCUAAGAGUGUUUGAUGCGGAAGAGCUCAAAUUUGAAAUAUUGCCAAAAGAGUUUUAUGAGCUAUAUCACCUACGCUACUUGGCUGUCACAACUGACCUCAAACUCUUUCCAAAAUCAUUCACCAACCUAUGGAACACCCAAACUCUUGUAUUCAAUACCUCCCAAACUAGUGUUGAAGUUAAGGCUGAGAUAUGGAGGUUGACAAAACUAAGGCAUCUUUUAGCCAAUGCUUCUUUGAAAUUUCCUACUCCCAAAAAUUGCAGAGACAAGUGUGAGGAUUUACAAACUCUUUCCUCUAUAUCACCUAAGAGCUGCACAGAAGCUAUCUUUGACAAGAUGCCCAACCUUUUGAAAAUGGGUGUUCGUGGGGAUUUAGUAGAGCUUCUGGAGAUGAGGAGAGGAAUUUGCUUGUUUGACAAUAUUGGAAACCAGCUGCAUAAGCUGCAAAAUCUGAAGCUUGUUCAUGAAACUGCCAAUGCUCAGGGUAGCAAAUUAAGGAGCUUUCCGCGGGCCGAAAAAUUCCCGGCCAACUUAAGGAAGCUAACUUUAGCCAACACAUCCUUUGAGUGGAAGGACAUUUGCAUAUUGGGAUCCCUGGACGGGCUGGAGGUCCUAAAGUUGGAGGAAUUCGCGGUGAAGGGGGACUCUUGGGAACUAAACAACACUGUUUUCAAUAGUCUCCAGUUCUUGCGCAUUGGGAGAACCGACUUGGCAUACUGGACUGCUAAGGAGACUAGCUUUCCAGCACUGAAAAAGCUUUACCUCUUACACUGUACAAACCUUAAUGCACUCCCACUUGCCUUCAAGGAUGUGAAAGCUCUUAAGUUUAUGGAGUUGUAUUGUACCAACAGAAACGCUGCAACUUCUGCAAGAAAGAUACAAAACUUAAAGCCUGAAGAGCAUGGGCUACUUGAGCUCUCCGUCUAUCCUCCUGAUCACUCAGCUCAACACUGAUAGAUCGAUCGAUGAUGCAUUAACAAAGAGGUCAUAUCGAAUAACAUUUUCAGAUGUAUUGAUGGCUCCUCCGAUCGAUCUAAUGAGCGCAUCUUAUCACUAUAUAUAUAUAUCUUUGUGGCACUUUCUUUAAUUUGUUCUUCUUUUCUUCUCUUAUUAAAAUAAAGGCUGGCAUGCAUGUAUGCAUGCAUGAUGCAUCUGUGCCAUUGUACGUAAGGUUUCGUGUGUGGAGUGCUUGAAUCUGAAUUCCUGUGUGAAUGAAUGGUUUUCAUCUUUCUCCUAAACAUUUGGUCAAGUAUGUAUCUAAACUAUUCCAGUUUUAAUUUGCCUGUAUUUGGUUUUCUUUUGGGCUUGUAGCUAGCCACUAUCACAGUUUAAAAUUGUUGUUACAAUGUGUUCACUUGAAUGUUUGAACUCCCCAAGCUUUACAACUAAUAAUAAGGGAUAUUUUUCCUUUAAGC